CGCACUCGGUGCCCGCAGCCGGUGUAACACGUCGGGGGCGAGCGUUGUCCGGUGUUAUUGGGCGUAAAGAGCGCGUAGGCGGUGUGUCGCUUCGGCCGUGAAAACCUGCAGUUUAACUGUGGGCGUGCGGUCGAUACGGGCAUCACUGGAGUUCGGCAGGGGAGACUGGAAUUCCUGGUGUAGCGGUGAAAUGCGCAGAUAUCAGGAGGAACACCGGUGGCGAAGGCGGGUCUCUGGGCCGAUACUGACGCUGAGGAGCGAAAGCGUGGGGAGCGAACAGGAUUAGAUACCCGUGUAGUC
rnacentral:rRNA from 1 species